rnacentral:rRNA from 1 species
AUGGUUAAGUUAGAAAGGGCGCACGGUGAAUGCCUUGGCACUAGGAGCCGAUGAAGGACGGGACUAACACCGAUAUGCUUCGGGGAGCUGUAAGUGAGCUUUGAUCCGGAGAUUUCCGAAUGGGGAAACCCACUGUUCGUAAUGGAACAGUAUCUUUAUCUGAAUACAUAGGAUAUUGAAGGCAGACCCGGGGAACUGAAACAUCUAAGUACCCGGAGGAAGAGAAAGCAAAUGCGAUUUCCUGAGUAGCGGCGAGCGAAACGGAAUUAGCCCAAACCAAGAGGCUUGCCUCUUGGGGUUGUAGGACACUCUAUACGGAGUUACAAAGGAAUGAAGUAAAUGAAGCGACCUGGAAAGGUCCGUCAAAGAAGGUAACAACCCUGUAGUUGAAACUUCGUUCCCUCUUGAGUGGAUCCUGAGUACGGCGGAACACGUGAAAUUCCGUCGGAAGCUGGGAGGACCAUCUCCCAAGGCUAAAUACUACCUAGUGACCGAUAGUGAACCAGUACCGUGAGGGAAAGGUGAAAAGCACCCCGGAAGGGGAGUGAAAGAGAUCCUGAAACCGUGUGCCUACAAGUAGUCAGAGCCCGUUAAUGGGUGAUGGCGUGCCUUUGUAGAAUGAACCGGCGAGUUACGAUCCCAUGCAAGGUUAAGCUGAUAAGGCGGAGCCGUAGCGAAAGCGAGUCUGAAUAGGGCGUUUAGUAUGUGGUUGUAGACCCGAAACCAGGUGAUCUACCCAUGUCCAGGGUGAAGUUCAGGUAACACUGAAUGGAGGCCCGAACCCACGCACGUUGAAAAGUGCGGGGAUGAGGUGUGGGUAGCGGAGAAAUUCCAAUCGAACCUGGAGAUAGCUGGUUCUCUCCGAAAUAGCUUUAGGGCUAGCCUCAUGUUGUGAGAGUCUUGGAGGUAGAGCACUGAUUGGACUAGGGGCCCCCAACGGGUUACCGAAUUCAGUCAAACUCCGAAUGCCAAAGACUUAUCCAUGGGAGUCAGACUGCGAGUGAUAAGAUCCGUAGUCAAAAGGGAAACAGCCCAGACCACCAGCUAAGGUCCCCAAGUAUACGUUAAGUGGAAAAGGAUGUGGAGUUGCUUAGACAACCAGGAUGUUGGCUUAGAAGCAGCCACCAUUUAAAGAGUGCGUAAUAGCUCACUGGUCGAGUGACUCUGCGCCGAAAAUGUACCGGGGCUAAACGUAUCACCGAAGCUGUGGAUUGACAUCUUUGAUGUCAGUGGUAGGAGAGCGUUCUAAGUGCUGUGAAGUCAGACCGUAAGGACUGGUGGAGCGCUUAGAAGUGAGAAUGCCGGUAUGAGUAGCGAAAGACAAGUGAGAAUCUUGUCCACCGAAUGCCUAAGGUUUCCUGAGGAAGGCUCGUCCGCUCAGGGUUAGUCGGGGCCUAAGCCGAGGCUGAAAAGCGUAGGCGAUGGCCAACAGGUUGAUAUUCCUGUACCACCUCCCCGCCGUUUGAGUAAUGGGGGGACGCAGUAGGAUAGGGUAAGCGCGCUGCUGGAUAUGCGCGUUCAAGCAGUUAGGCUGAUGAGUAGGCAAAUCCGCUCAUCAUAAAGGCUGAGCUGUGAUGACGAGGGAAUUAUAGUACCGAAGUUCCUGAUUCCACACUGCCAAGAAAAGCCUCUAGCGAGGCGGGAGGUGCCCGUACCGCAAACCGACACAGGUAGGCGAGGAGAGAAUCCUAAGGUGAUCGAGAGAACUCUCGUUAAGGAACUCGGCAAAAUGACCCCGUAACUUCGGGAGAAGGGGUGCUCUGGUAGGGUGUAUAGCCCGAGAGAGCCGCAGUGAAUAGGCCCAGGCGACUGUUUAGCAAAAACACAGGUCUCUGCGAAGCCGCAAGGCGAAGUAUAGGGGCUGACGCCUGCCCGGUGCUGGAAGGUUAAGAGGAGGGGUUAUCCUUUGGGAGAAGCUCUGAAUCGAAGCCCCAGUAAACGGCGGCCGUAACUAUAACGGUCCUAAGGUAGCGAAAUUCCUUGUCGGGUAAGUUCCGACCCGCACGAAAGGCGUAACGAUCUGGGCACUGUCUCAACGAGAGACUCGGUGAAAUUAUAGUACCUGUGAAGAUGCAGGUUACCCGCGACAGGACGGAAAGACCCCGUGGAGCUUUACUGUAGCCUGAUAUUGAAUUUUGGUACAGCUUGUACAGGAUAGGUAGGAGCCUGAGAAGCCGGAGCGCUAGCUUCGGUGGAGGCGUCGGUGGGAUACUACCCUGGCUGUAUUGAAAUUCUAACCCGCGGCCCUGAUCGGGCCGGGAGACAGUGUCAGGUGGGCAGUUUGACUGGGGCGGUCGCCUCCUAAAAUGUAACGGAGGCGCCCAAAGGUUCCCUCAGAAUGGUUGGAAAUCAUUCGUAGAGUGUAAAGGCACAAGGGAGCUUGACUGCGAGACCUACAAGUCGAGCAGGGACGAAAGUCGGGCUUAGUGAUCCGGUGGUUCCGCAUGGAAGGGCCAUCGCUCAACGGAUAAAAGCUACCCCGGGGAUAACAGGCUUAUCUCCCCCAAGAGUCCACAUCGACGGGGAGGUUUGGCACCUCGAUGUCGGCUCAUCGCAUCCUGGGGCUGUAGUCGGUCCUAAGGGUUGGGCUGUUCGCCCAUUAAAGCGGUACGCGAGCUGGGUUCAGAACGUCGUGAGACAGUUCGGUCCCUAUCCGUCGUGGGCGUAGGAAAUUUGAGAGGAGCUGUCCUUAGUACGAGAGGACCGGGAUGGACACACCGCUGGUGUACCAGUUGUCUUGCCAAAGGCAUCGCUGGGUAGCUAUGUGUGGACGGGAUAAGUGCUGAAAGCAUCUAAGCAUGAAGCCCCCCUCAAGAUGAGAUUUCCCAUAGCGCAAGCUAGUAAGAUCCCUGAAAGAUGAUCAGGUUGAUAGGUCAGAGGUGGAAGCGUGGCGACAUGUGUAGCUGACUGAUACUAAUCGAUCGAGGACUUAACCAAA